AUAUAUCAAAUUUAAUCUAAAUUAAAUUAUAAAUCUAAAUACAUAUAAUAUUAUAUCAUAUCGAACCGUGGCUCUGAUAUUAUUGUUGGGAUACGUAGGGGUUUCAUGCAUGCAUUUCAAAAAUUUUUUAAUGAAAGAAUAUUAGAUUAAACUAUUUAAUCUAUUAAUAUAUGUAUAAUAUCUGAUCUUAAAACUUUUACAAAUGGAUUAAUGAUAUGAAUUUAUAUGCAUAAAAAUUUGAAUCUAAAAUGACAAGCAUGUGAACCAAAAAUGAUAUUUAGUAAUAGAUCUAAUCUACCACUUCUAGGGUUUCGAACCCAAU
rnacentral:lncRNA from 1 species